AGGUCGGCGUGGUCUAAUGGAUACUUCGUUUGUAAUGGUAUCAAAACUGACUUGAAAUUAGUUCAAAUGGGUUCGAUUCCCAUAAAGUCCAUGGACGCUAUCUGGCCUUUUU
rnacentral:vault_RNA from 1 species